rnacentral:tRNA from 1 species
ACCUGGCUGGCUCAGUUGGAAGAGCAUGAGACUCUUGAUCUUGGGGUCAUGAGUUUGAGUCCCAUGUUGAGUG